GACGAACGCUGGCGGCGUGCUUAACACAUGCAAGUCGAACGGAAAGGCCCUGCUUUUGUGGGGUGCUCGAGUGGCGAACGGGUGAGUAACACGUGAGUAACCUGCCCUUGACUUUGGGAUAACUUCAGGAAACUGGGGCUAAUACCGGAUAGGAGCUCCUGCUGCAUGGUGGGGGUUGGAAAGUUUCGGCGGUUGGGGAUGGACUCGCGGCUUAUCAGCUUGUUGGUGGGGUAGUGGCUUACCAAGGCUUUGACGGGUAGCCGGCCUGGGAGGGUGACCGGCCACAUUGGGACUGAGAUACGGCCCAGACUCCUACGGGAGGCAGCAGUGGGGAAUAUUGCACAAUGGGCGGAAGCCUGAUGCAGCAACGCCGCGUGCGGGAUGACGGCCUUCGGGUUGUAAACCGCUUUCGCCUGUGACGAAGCGUGAGUGACGGUAAUGGGUAAAGAAGCACCGGCUAACUACGU
rnacentral:rRNA from 1 species